rnacentral:rRNA from 1 species
CCUACGGGUGGCAGCAGUGGGGGAUAUUGCACAAUGGGGGGAACCCUGAUGCAGCGACGCCGCGUGGGUGAAGAAGCGCCUCGGCGUGUAAAGCCCUGUCAGCAGGGAAGAAAAUGACGGUACCUGAAGAAGAAGCCCCGGCUAACUACGUGCCAGCAGCCGCGGGAAUACGUAGGGGGCAAGUGUUAUCCGGCUUUACUGGGUGUAACGGGGGCGCAGACGGCGAUGCAAGCCAGGAGUGAAAGCCCUGGGCACAACCCCGGGACUGCUCUUGGAACUGCGCGGCUGGAGUGCAGGAGGGGCAGGCGGAAUUCCUGGUGUAGCGGUGAAAUGCGUAGAUAUCAGGAGGAACACCGGUGGCGAAGGCGGCCUGCUGGACUGCGACUGACGUUGAGGCCCGAAAGCGUGGGGAGCAAACAGGAUUAGAUACCCGGGUAGUC